CCCCGCACAAGCAGCGGAGCGUGUGGUUUAAUUCGAUGCUACACGAAGAACCUUACCAGGGUUUGACAUGCAAGUGGUAGGAAACCGAAAGGCGACCGACCCUUCGGGAGCUUGCACAGGUGCUGCAUGGCUGUCGUCAGCUCGUGUCGUGAGAUGUUCGGUUAAGUCCGCUAACGAGCGCAACCCUCGCUGUGUGUUACAAGUGUCACACGGUACUGCCGGUCUUAAGCCGGAGGAAGGUGGGAUGACGUCAAAUCAGCACGGCCCUUAUGUCCAGGGCUACACACGUGUUACAAUGGUCGGUACAGAGGGCAGCUACCUGGUGACAGGAUGCUAAUCUCGAAAACCGGUCUCAGUUCGGAUCGAAGUCUGCAACUCGACUUCGUGAAGCUGGAUUCGCUAGUAAUCGCGCAUCAGCUAUGGCGCGGUGAAUACGUUCCCGGGCCUU
rnacentral:rRNA from 1 species